AACAGAGCACUAAAACAGAAAACACUUGCUCCUUAUGGCAUAAGUGAGAAGGCACCACAUGAAAGGGGAAGCGGCCAGCGUAGGAGGAGAGAAGAGGCAAAAAUCCUUCGUUUGCGUUUUGCUUCAAACAAUCCCGUGAAUGUUGCUUUGGAAGAAAAAAAAAAAAAAAAAAAAGUCUUUUUAGUCAAUAAUCAACCCCACACUUUCUUCUGAAACUGCUGAUCUGCCAUUCGCCCACUUGCCCGGCCGAAUACUGAGAGAGGCAGCUCUGCGCCCCGACGGAGCCCCCCGGACCGGCGAGGAGGAUUUGGACAGGGAGAGAAAAGAUGGGGACUGCCGAAACCUGCGGACACCGGGGAGCCUGCCGGUUUGGGGGGCCCCGCCGAAAGCCGGGCGAGUUUUUCCUAAGAGCGCGUUUCAGCUUGGGAGCCAUCUCCAGCGGGAUUUUCUGGCAAAAUAUCCCCAUUCAGAGAGGCAGAAUAAACCUCCACAUUUUCAAGGCUGAUUUAUUGUUGGAAGCCGUGGCUGGCUCUUGGUUCAGCUCCUUCUCACCGCGGAGAAAUAAAGAGGAGCGCCUUGGCUCAUUUGGGAAGGGGAAGCUUUGCCAUAGAGCUGAGCACUCAUGCAGCGCUCCUCGCACAAUAAACAAAGUACCACUAAAGCAUCAUAAAUAAAAUGGCAGCACGAUCGCACAGUCAUCGAUUUACGGAGCGGCAGCGGCCGAACAAACACCCAUAAAACAACAACCGCUGCCGCACACUCGAGCACGACCCCGACAGAGGAGCAUCACACGCCCCCCACAUCGCUUUCUCCUACUCGCCCAAAUACAUAAAUAAACAAACAAACACACACACAAACGCACAAAUAAAAUAAUAGAAUAAAAUUAAGGGGGGGGGGAAAAUAUUCAAACGCGGCAAUAAAAGAGGCUUCCCAUCUCCAGCCGGUCAUAAAUAAUGGUAAAAUGGCAAUCGAGGGGCUGUAGCGGAGGCAGCUGGCCAUCAGCAGCAGUGUGGGAUCUCUAUGGAGAAAAAUAAAUAAAGAAGCAAACUCUGCCUGCUCUGCUCGCUGCAAGGGUAGAGUUGAAUAUUUACCACAGCAAAUUGAAACAAAGGGGGAAGCAGCCUGGCUCCGGGUGCACACACACCCGCACGCACACACACGCACUCACUCCAGCCUCUGCUACUGACCUUUGCCUCGAACAGCAAUAACUCACCACAUAAAUGAACAAUCAACGGAAAUACCUUAAAAUAAAAUCCAUCCUUUCUAACGAA